GAUGGGAGCUUGCUCCCUGAAGUCAGCGGCGGACGGGUGAGUAACACGUGGGCAACCUGCCUGUAAGACUGGGAUAACUCCGGGAAACCGGGGCUAAUACCGGAUAAUUCUUUUCCUCUCAUGAGGAAAAGCUGAAAGAUGGUUUCGGCUAUCACUUACAGAUGGGCCCGCGGCGCAAUAACUAGUUGGUGAGGUAACGGCUCACCAAGGCCACGAUGCGUAACCCACCUGAAAGGGUGAUCGGCCACACUGGGACUGAAACACGGCCCAAACUCCUACGGGAGGCAGCAGUAGGGAAUCUUCCGCAAUGGACGAAAGUCUGACGGAACAACGCCCCGUGAGUGAUGAAGGUUUUCGGAUCGUAAAACUCUGUUGUCAGGGAAGAACAAGUACCGGAAUAACUGCCGGUACCUUGACGGUACCUGACCAGAAAGCCACGGCUAACUACGUGCCAGCAGCCGCGGUAAUACGUAAGUGGCAAGCGUUGUCCGGAAUUAUUGGGCGUAAAGCGCGCGCAGGCGGUUCCUUAAGUCUGAUGUGAAAGCCCCCGGCUCAACCGGGGAGGGUCAUUGGAAACUGGGGAACUUGAGUGCAGAAGAGAAGAGUGGAAUUCCACGUGUAGCGGUGAAAUGCGUAGAGAUGUGGAGGAACACCAGUGGCGAAAGCGACUCUUUGGUCUGUAACUGACGCUGAAGCGCGAAAGCGUGGGGAGCAAACAGGAUUAGAUACCCUGGUAGUCCACGCC
rnacentral:rRNA from 1 species